rnacentral:rRNA from 1 species
CUCGUAGGCGGUUCGGUAAGUCGGGUGUGAAACCUCCAGGCUCAACCUGGAGACGCCACCCGAUACUGCUGUGACUAGAGUCCAGUAGGGGAGCGUGGAAUUCCUGGUGUAGCGGUGAAAUGCGCAGAUAUCAGGAGGAACACCAGCGGCGAAGGCGGCGCUCUGGGCUGGAACUGACGCUGAGGAGCGAAAGCGUGGGGAGCGAACA